CUGCACAUCAAAUGGCCUACAUACAUCAGUGUGUACUAGUACAAACAACUCAGUGGCCCUUUCUCCAAGUCCUACAAAGGGUAACUUGGUCAUUUUUCUUCGAAGGCAAGAUUCACAAGCUGGGUAUGACUCUGAAUUAAGAGAGCCAAAGAUCCUAUCCUUCUCCAGUCUAUUUAUCCUGUCCUCUCUAAUAUGGCCU
rnacentral:lncRNA from 1 species